rnacentral:rRNA from 1 species
AUGUUAGGUGGUCAAGAAGUUGCUAUCAAAAGGCUUAGUAAGGAUUCUCGGCAAGGAACAAAGGAAUUCAGCAAUGAAGUAAUUCUAAUUGCCAAAUUGCAACAUAGAAACUUGGUUCAACUCCUUGGGUGUUGCGCCGACAGGGAUGAAAAGUUAUUGAUUUAUGAAUAUAUGCCUAACAAGAGUUUGGAUGCUACCCUUUUUGAUGACUCAAGAAAAUUGCGACUGGAUUGGUCGACACGGUUUAAUAUAAUCAAAGGGGUCGCAAGGGGGCUUCUUUAUCUCCACCAAGAUUCAAGACUCACAAUAAUUCACAGAGACCUGAAAGCUGGAAAUGUUUUGCUAGAUGCAGAGAUGAAACCCAAGAUAGCGGAUUUUGGUAUGGCGGGGAUAUUUGGCGAUAACCAACAAAAUGCAAAUACUCAACGCAUUGUUGGGACCUAUGGCUACAUGGCUCCUGAGUAUGCAAUGGAAGGCCUCUUCUCUACCAAGUCUGAUGUAUACAGCUUCGGUGUGUUACUAUUAGAGGUUGUAACUGGUAUUAGAAGAAACUCCAAUAGUCAAACCAUGGGUUUCCCUAGCCUCAUAAUCUAUUCAUGGACUAGCUAUGUGGAAAGAAGGAAGGGCAGAGGAGUUGCCGGACUCAUCUAUCAUGGAUGCUUGUUCACUAGAUGA